ACAAUGGAACCAUGGCCCUAUCUCCAUCCACCUUGCCAGAAGGGAACUGCAGUGGGAGAAAACCAAGUUAAUGAGGAGUGAGAGAAGACAUUAAGGACCAGCUGAGUCCCAGAGACAAAGCUGAAAAACCAUCCAAGGAGGUUGCCAGACUGUAACAGCCACAUCUCAGCGGGCGUUACUACCGGACGACGUCACUUUAAGUGGACAAGUGAGACUGCAGAUGAAGGAACUGAUGGCAGCAGCUGAUACUACAAGCUAAAAGUCAAGUAGCACAUAGUGCCGCUACAGAUACUUUCUUCCUGCAAGCAAAGGGAGAUUUGGCUGGUAAACUCCACAGACAGUGGAAGCAAGGCAGAGAGGCAACUGGAAAGAGAGAGAUGGAUGAGAGCUGCCGGAAAUGAGAACUUAGCAGAACAGAAUGUGAAAUCCAAGGACAUUUUCCAAGAGAUGCCUGCCUUCUUAUAUGGUCUACUUCUAUUCCAGAGUGGUGAUAUUCCAAUCCAUGUAUAUUUUAGAGAGGAGG